GGUUAAGCGACUAAGCGUACACGGUGGAUGCCCUGGCAGUCAGAGGCGAUGAAGGGCGUGCUAAUCUGCGAUAAGCGCCGGUAAGGUGAUAUGAACCGUUAUAACCGGCGAUACCCGAAUGGGGAAACCCAGUGUGACUCGUCACACUAUCAUUAACUGAAUCCAUAGGUUAAUGAGGCGAACCGGGGGAACUGAAACAUCUAAGUACCCCGAGGAAAAGAAAUCAACCGAGAUUCCCCCAGUAGCGGCGAGCGAACGGGGAGGAGCCCAGAGCCUGAAUCAGCAUGUGUGUUAGUGGAAGCGUCUGGAAAGGCGCGCGAUACAGGGUGACAGCCCCGUACACAAAAGCGCAUGUGCUGUGAGCUCGAUGAGUAGGGCGGGACACGUGGUAUCCUGUCUGAAUAUGGGGGGACCAUCCUCCAAGGCUAAAUACUCCUGACUGACCGAUAGUGAACCAGUACCGUGAGGGAAAGGCGAAAAGAACCCCGGCGAGGGGAGUGAAAAAGAACCUGAAACCGUGUACGUACAAGCAGUGGGAGCACCCUUUGGGGUGUGACUGCGUACCUUUUGUAUAAUGGGUCAGCGACUUAUAUUCUGUAGCAAGGUUAACCGUAUAGGGGAGCCGUAGGGAAACCGAGUCUUAACCGGGCGUUAAGUUGCAGGGUAUAGACCCGAAACCCGGUGAUCUAGCCAUGGGCAGGUUGAAGGUUGGGUAACACUAACUGGAGGACCGAACCGACUAAUGUUGAAAAAUUAGCGGAUGACCUGUGGCUGGGGGUGAAAGGCCAAUCAAACCGGGAGAUAGCUGGUUCUCCCCGAAAGCUAUUUAGGUAGCGCCUCGUGAAUUCAUCUCCGGGGGUAGAGCACUGUUUCGGCUAGGGGGCCAUCCCGGCUUACCAACCCGAUGCAAACUGCGAAUACCGGAGAAUGUUAUCACGGGAGACACACGGCGGGUGCUAACGUCCGUCGUGAAGAGGGAAACAACCCAGACCGCCAGCUAAGGUCCCAAAGUCAUGGUUAAGUGGGAAACGAUGUGGGAAGGCCCAGACAGCCAGGAUGUUGGCUUAGAAGCAGCCAUCAUUUAAAGAAAGCGUAAUAGCUCACUGGUCGAGUCGGCCUGCGCGGAAGAUGUAACGGGGCUAAACCAUGCACCGAAGCUGCGGCAGCGACGCUGAUGCGUUGUUGGGUAGGGGAGCGUUCUGUAAGCCUGCGAAGGUGACCUGUGAGGGUUGCUGGAGGUAUCAGAAGUGCGAAUGCUGACAUAAGUAACGAUAAAGCGGGUGAAAAGCCCGCUCGCCGGAAGACCAAGGGUUCCUGUCCAACGUUAAUCGGGGCAGGGUGAGUCGACCCCUAAGGCGAGGCCGAAAGGCGUAGUCGAUGGGAAACGGGUUAAUAUUCCCGUACUUGGUGUUACUGCGAAGGGGGGACGGAGAAGGCUAUGUUGGCCGGGCGACGGUUGUCCCGGUUUAAGCGUGUAGGUGUGUGUUCCAGGUAAAUCCGGUUCACUUUAACACUGAGGCGUGAUGACGAGGCACUACGGUGCUGAAGCAACAAAUGCCCUGCUUCCAGGAAAAGCCUCUAAGCAUCAGGUAACAUCAAAUCGUACCCCAAACCGACACAGGUGGUCAGGUAGAGAAUACCAAGGCGCUUGAGAGAACUCGGGUGAAGGAACUAGGCAAAAUGGUGCCGUAACUUCGGGAGAAGGCACGCUGACACGUAGGUGAAGUGAUUUACUCACGGAGCUGAAGUCAGUCGAAGAUACCAGCUGGCUGCAACUGUUUAUUAAAAACACAGCACUGUGCAAACACGAAAGUGGACGUAUACGGUGUGACGCCUGCCCGGUGCCGGAAGGUUAAUUGAUGGGGUCAGCGCAAGCGAAGCUCCUGAUCGAAGCCCCGGUAAACGGCGGCCGUAACUAUAACGGUCCUAAGGUAGCGAAAUUCCUUGUCGGGUAAGUUCCGACCUGCACGAAUGGCGUAAUGAUGGCUAGGCUGUCUCCACCCGAGACUCAGUGAAAUUGAACUCGCUGUGAAGAUGCAGUGUACCCGCGGCAAGACGGAAAGACCCCGUGAACCUUUACUAUAGCUUGACACUGAACAUUGAGCCUUGAUGUGUAGGAUAGGUGGGAGGCUUUGAAGUGUGGACGCCAGUCUGCAUGGAGCCGACCUUGAAAUACCACCCUUUAAUGUUUGAUGUUCUAACGUGGACCCGUUACCCGGGUUGCGGACAGUGUCUGGUGGGUAGUUUGACUGGGGCGGUCUCCUCCUAAAGAGUAACGGAGGAGCACGAAGGUUGGCUAAUCCUGGUCGGACAUCAGGAGGUUAGUGCAAUGGCAUAAGCCAGCUUGACUGCGAGCGUGACGGCGCGAGCAGGUGCGAAAGCAGGUCAUAGUGAUCCGGUGGUUCUGAAUGGAAGGGCCAUCGCUCAACGGAUAAAAGGUACUCCGGGGAUAACAGGCUGAUACCGCCCAAGAGUUCAUAUCGACGGCGGUGUUUGGCACCUCGAUGUCGGCUCAUCACAUCCUGGGGCUGAAGUAGGUCCCAAGGGUAUGGCUGUUCGCCAUUUAAAGUGGUACGCGAGCUGGGUUUAGAACGUCGUGAGACAGUUCGGUCCCUAUCUGCCGUGGGCGCUGGAGAACUGAGGGGGGCUGCUCCUAGUACGAGAGGACCGGAGUGGACGCAUCACUGGUGUUCGGGUUGUCAUGCCAAUGGCACUGCCCGGUAGCUAAAUGCGGAAGAGAUAAGUGCUGAAAGCAUCUAAGCACGAAACUUGCCCCGAGAUGAGUUCUCCCUGAGACUUAAAGUCUCCUGAAGGAACGUUGAAGACGACGACGUUGAUAGGCCGGGUGUGUAAGCGCAGCGAUGCGUUGAGCUAACCGGUACUAAUGAACCGUGAGGCUUAACCUU
rnacentral:rRNA from 1 species